UCCCGGGUGGCUCAGAGAUUAAAGCCUCUGCCUGCAAUGCAGGAGACCCGGGUUCGAUCCCUGGGUCAGGAA
rfam:TPA: Bos taurus chromosome 13, whole genome shotgun sequence.